GCGUCCCACCUGGCGGAAUCAGAACGAACCCUCGGUGCGGGCUGGAAUACGCUGGGUCUCGUGCGUCGGCGACCGAGUCGACGCAAAGCCGACAGCCGUCGCACACAGGGAGCCCACCAUG
rnacentral:sRNA from 1 species